UGGUUGUAUAACAUUGGAGGUAAAUGUGUAACUUUUCAAGAAACGGCCAAACCAUUUUUCAAACUGCCCACAGCUUCUUGCACUCGGACAGCAGUUACGGGGUUCCAGGAAUUCCCACUUUUACCGGCAGUUGUUGAGGUUAGUGGCUUUUCUCAAAUGCCCAGCAGCCCUGGCUGUCCAUCAACACCAAACAGGAGCUGGAAGCCAAGUGUGGCGGCACAUGCCAGUCAGCCCUUCCUACUCUGGGGGGAACAGCACAGCAUUCUGCGAGCCACCGGACUUUCCCCUUUCCUGGGUGGAUGAUGGGGAGUGUGUGAGUUUCUUGGAGUCAGCAGAACAAAUUUCCACUGCUCACUGGAAACUGGAAGACUGGUGUCAGCUAACUGUGCUGGAUCCAGGACUUUGCAGGCCCUUGCUCUCUGGAGCCAGGGAAUCAGGAGUCAGAAGAGGCACUGAAGCCAUCUAGGCCACCACUCUUGGGCAUGGGAGUGGGAGUGGGGAUGCCUUUCCUGGGUCCUGGGCAAGCUGUGGCUUGGCCUCUUCUUUCAUACCUCCAGAAAGGCAGGGUCCUCACUGCCUGCCAGGAGACUGUCAGUGUCUAGCACAGUGUUAGACUCCAGAAAUGACCAUCCAGUUUUCUUCUGUUUCUUUCUUUUUUUAAAAUUUUAUUUAAAAAAAGACUAAACAAAACAGAAAAUGGCUAGAAAUAAUACAUAUGUUCAAAGAAAAAAUAAACAGUAAGA